GCCUUGAGCAAAAGAGCUUAGGGACAGUGCCCAGGCCCUGAUGUUCAAGCCCCAAUACUAGCCUUUAAAAAAUGGGGAAAAGGGGCUUAGGAGGUAGCCCAGUAGCUCAGUGGCAAAGUACAUGCCUAGAAAAUACAUCAUGGGUUCAAUUCCCCAGUAG